AAAAAUUACUCAUAAUUUCCCCCAAAGAUUACCAAGAUCUCGAGUGCACAAUGUCAUCAGCGUAAUGAGGAGUAAACAUUUAUGCUAAUAAUCUACAUUUUUUCCCCCAUCAGCUAUAAAGAGAGGGAAAUAAAGCAGACAUUUUCAGUCAUAUUCUGAACUCUGCUGCAAUAAGCUUAGACCAACACAUGGGACACAUUUUGUGGGAUUUAAGCGCUCAUCUUUUGUGUGUCUGUGCUGCAGGAUGCUGCUGCUGCUGCUGCUGCUUCAUCUGCCUCCAUGCUGAUGUCUGGAGAUCCUAUGAGGGAGCUCGCCUCUUCCUUUUCAAGCCGAUAGGCACUGAUGACUCUGUGAGGAAACUGUAUCACAUCAGUUUGGGAAGUACUGACCAAACGCUCCUGGGACUCCAAACUGGACUUGUUGCUCUAUAGACGACAGACAAUAAUAUAAAUAAAAGGCCAGUUAAUGUGGCAUUUAAUUCAA